GAGCGAACUGAUUGGAACCUUGCUUCUAUGACUUUAGCGGCGGACGGGUGAAUAACACGUGGGCAACCUGCCUGUAACACUGGGAUAACUCCGGGAAACCAGAUCUAAUACCAGAUAACAUUUUUUCUUGCGUAACAGAGAAUUGAAAGAUGGUUUCCGCUAUCACUUACAUAUGGGCCCGCGGUGCAUUAUCUAUUUGGUGAGGUAACGGCUCACCAGGGCAACUAUGCAUACCCGACCUGAGAGGGUGAUCGGCCACACUGGGACUGACACACGGCCCACACUCCUACGGGAGGCAGCUAUAGGGAAUCUUCCGCAGUGGACGAAAGUCUGACAGAACAACGCCGCGUGAGUGAUGAGUGCUUUCGGGUCAUAAAACUCUGUUGUUAGGGAAGAACAUGUACGAGAAUAACUGCUUGCACCUUGACUGUACCUAACCAGAACGCCACCGCUAACUACGUGCCCACCCCCCGCUGUAAUAC
rnacentral:rRNA from 1 species